CGAAGAAGUGAAUAGAGCGUAUGGAGGAUGCCUUGGCACAAACAGCCGAAGAAGGACGUACCAGCCUGCGAUAAGCAUCGGGGAGGCGGCAAGGAGCCUGUGAUCCGAUGAUCUCCGAAUGGGGUAACCCAAUGUCGUGAACCGACAUUAACCAGUGCAUAGCACGGAAAUCCUAAACUCAAAAUCCUAAAUCCUAAACAAAUUCAAAGCUCAAAAUUACAAAUUAAUAACAAGCAAUUGUUUGAGAAUUUGGACAUUUGAAAUUUAUAAUUGCUUAGAGUUUAGAUUUUAUUGCUUAGAGUUUCCGAUGCUGUGCAUCGGUCGGGCACCUGGGGAACUGAAACAUCUUAGUACCCAGAGGAAAAGAAAACAACAAUCCGCCUCAAGCGGAUAAAUGCCAAUAAAUACGAAUACGGCUUCGCCGAUUUCGAAUAAUCACUAAUUAGAGAUUAUUUGUUAACGAGCGAAGCGAGUAUUCGAGUAUAUUAGUAUUUGUGAUUCCCCUAGUAGUGGCGAGCGAACGGGGACCAGUCUUGAUUAAAGCGAUAUUUGAUAUGCGAGACGAAGGAACCUGGAAAGGACCGCCAGAGCGGGUGAUAGCCCCGUAGUCAAAAAAUAUCAUAUAUUCAAUUAAUCUCUUGACAGAUUUUAUCCGUCAAGAAGAGUACCAUGGGUCACGUGAAACCCCGUGGGAAGAUGGGUGGAUCAUCAUCCAAGACUAAAUACUGUUUGUGACCGAUAGUGAACUAGUACCGUGAGGGAAAGGUGAAAAGUACCCCGAAUAGGGGAGUGAAAUAGUACCUGAAACCAUAUGCUUACAAGGAGUGAGAGCACUUCGCUGCACUCAGUGCUUAAUUCAAAAUGAAAAAGUCAAAUCUCAAAAUUAUGGUAUCCCGCUAUGCGGGAUAGAUUAUAUAUUUUGUGGCAAAGCCACACCAUACCUUUUAUUUUUGAUAUUUUAUUUUUGAACUUGAACAUCGAGCGUAGCGAGGUGUGAUCGCGUGCCUUUUGAAGAAUGAGCCAACGAGUUACUUGUUGUUGCAAGCUUAAACACCUACGGGUGUGGAGGCGCAGGGAAACCGAGUCCUAAUCGGGCGACAACCGUCCAGAGUUCAGAAGUCAGAAGUCGGAUUUCAGAUGUAACAAAAUAUCUGAUUUCUGAUUUCCGAUAUCUGAUCUCUGGAUGGGUAGUAGCAAUAAGUAGACCCGAAACCGGGUGACCUAGCCAUGGGCAGGUUGAAGCGGGCGUAACAGUCCGUGGAGGACCGCACCCACCAGCGUUGUAAAGCUGGGGGAUGACCUGUGGUUAGCGGUAAAAUGCCAAUCGAACCCGGAGAUAGCUGGUUCUCUCCGAAAUAUAUUUAAGUAUAGCCGUAUGACUGCGCUUGGAGGUAGGGCGCUGGUUGGUGCUCGGGUGCGCAAGUGCUCGGCACCAGUCAAACUUCGAAUACCAAGUACGUGUAUCAUACGAGUCAGUCCGUGAGGGCUAAGCUUCAUGUGACGAAAGGGAAACAACCCAGACCGCCAGCUAAGGUCCCUAAACAUCCGCUCAGUGGGGAAGGAAGUCAUUUUCCUAAGACAGCUAGGAGGUUGGCUUAGAAGCAGCCAUCCUUUAAAGAUAGCGUAACAGCUCACUAGCCGACCCGUAAGGGUUGGAAAAUGGCGCCGAAAAUUUACGGGGCUUAAGCGGAUUACCGAAGCUGCGGGUUCGCCGUUGGCGACCAAGUCGAAAGUUCAUAAAGUUGAAAAUCCUUAAAGUAUCAUACAUACUUUUUGACUUUAAAGACUUUAUAGACUUGUGACUUGUUCGUCUUCGGCGAACGGUAGGAGAGCGUUCUGUACUGGUUGAAGGUGGAUCGUAAGGUCUGCUGGACGGUACAGAAGUGAGAAUGUUGGCAUGAGUAACGAAUCUGGCAGGUGUGAACCCUGCCCACCGAAUGUCUCAGGUUUCCCCCGCAACGAUGAUCGACGGGGGGUUAGGCGGUCCUAAGUCAGAGAUGGCGAUGGACAGACGGUUGAUAUUCCGUCCCUUCCAAGGAGACUAUUGCGUCAUGACGCAUGCCCAAGCUUAUACGAGCCACAUGGUAAUGCUUGUAUGGGGGAGGAUGUGACAGGAAAAGUGACGCACCACUACCCUUGGAAUCCGUACCGCAAACCAACACAGGUAGAUGAGGCGAGGAGCCUCAGGUGAUCGAGUGAACCUUCGUUAAGGAACUCGGCAAAAAAGCGGCCGUAACUUAGGGAUAAGGCCUACCCGAUGCAAAUCGGGUCGCAGCAAACGAUUCUCAGGCGACUGUUUACCAAAAACUUAGCUCCGUGCCAACCCAUUUGGGGAUGUAUACGGGGUGAUGCCUGCCCAGUGCCGGAAGGUCACGAGGAUGGGUGAUAUUGUGUCUCACUUUCGUUCGACACGAAGUAUAAAACUGAAAGUAUAAAGUAUAAAACCAUAUGGUUUUUAAUUUUAUCUUUUAUAUUUUUAACUUGAGUGGCGAGCGGUAGCGAGACACGAUUGAGCCUUGAAUUUAAGCCCCGGUGAACGGCAGCGGUAACUAUGGAAAUGAGUGAGCUACCAGCGAACGAGUGUACACCCAGUGUAGCGUGCACAGUGCGUAGAGGACAUAGUCCCUUGCACAGUAAGUGCGAAGUUGGGUAACCGUUCGUCUUCCGUUAAAUCGGACUUACUUACGUAGUUAUAAAAUUCCACUAUAUGCUGGGAUCUCUCCCGAAUUCCGACGAGCAAUCGGUCGGACUGUGGAGACAAUCAGCAGGGAAGUCCGCCGAAUGCGGACCCCUCAACGACUACACGUGGAAAUCGCUGAUGAAGCGAUAUGAUAUAGUCUGACCUGCAUGGCGAUAUGCAGAACUCGGCAGAAAUGUUCGAGUCAAUUGAAACUUAUGGAUAUUGUUUUCUAUUUUAUGGGAACGAUACCCCAUCAUUUUUUCGAUUUGUAACAAAUGUGAACCGUUCUAUGGUAGCGAAAUUCCUUGUCGGGUAAGUUCCGACCCGCACGAAUGGCAUAACGGUCUGAGAACUGUCUCAACGAAGGACUCGGUGAAAUUACACUACCGGUAAAGAUGCCGGUUACCCGCAGCAAGACGGAAAGACCCCGUGGAGCUUUACUACAGUCUGUCAUUGGAUUGUUGUGUUGCAUGUGUAGGCUAGGUGGGAGAAUGUGCACAGCACGUAGAUGGUAAAGUUCGCAAUUGUUUAGUAUUAUCCGCAUUNNNNNNNNNNNNNCGCGCUGUGCGCGUUCGCAAGAUGAAACACCACCCUUGUACCUCGACGAUUCUAACCCGCCAAUGGGCGGGAACAGUGAUUGAUGGGUAGUUUGACUGGGGCGGUCGCCUCCCAAAGUGUAACGGAGGCGUUCAAAGGUCAGCUAGGUAUGGAUGGACAUCAUACCGAUAGGGCAAACCCAUAAGCUGGCUUGACUGCGAAGCUUACAAGCUGAGCAGGUGCGAAAGCAGGAGUUAGUGAUCCUCUGGCCUCGUAUGAUGGAGCCAGAGCUCAACGGAUAAAAGCUACCCCGGGGAUAACAGGCUGAUCGCAUCCAAUAGUCCACAUAGACGAUGCGGUUUGGCACCUCGAUGUCGGCUCAUCACAUCCUGGGGCUGGAGCAGGUCCCAAGGGUCCGGCUGUUCGCCGGUUAAAGUGGUACGCGAGCUGGGUUCAGAACGUCGCGAGACAGUAAACAAUAGUGCUGUCUAUAAAUCUUCCUAUAUGCUGGAAACUCUGUAGUCCUAAUAGGGCUUGUAGUAUCGAGCGCUACGCAUUAAAAUAAAGUUAUGCGUGACAAUGUGACUCGUGCAGACAAUCAGCAGGAAAGAUCAAAAGAGUUCUGGAGAGGUUACGUAACAGGUUUAGUUGAUAGUGAAGGCAGUUUUCAUAUUGCUUUUCAAAUUCGGGAUGAUCUGCCACUUGGUAUUUCUAUAAUUCCCGAGUUUCACGUUUCCCAAAAUGAAGACAGUAAAGCCGUUCUGGCUAUUACUCGAGAUAUUUUGGGAUGCGGAUAUAUCAAACCAAAUCAUAGAAAAUCAUCUGAUUUGACACUUGUAUUAGUUGUUCGAGAUCGAUUUGAUCUACUUACGAAGGUAAUACCUUUUUUUGAGAUCAAUCAAUUAAAAACGACAAAGUCACAUGAUUUUACUAUUUUUGCGCAUAUUGUUCGUCUCAUGCACGCAUCUGUGCAUGGGUCGUCAGAGGGAAUUAUUAAAAUAAUCCAGAUGGCGUAUACAAUGAACAAUCAUGGCAAAAGACGUAGCCGAUCUAAAGAAGUGUUAAUAUCUCUUUUGAAAUCCCCAGAGACUAUACGGAAGACCCCAUCAUUCGAUAGGGAAGAUAUAGUCCGAGCUGCAUCCUUCGAUAGAAGGACAUCGUCCUGAUUCAGGACAAUGUAGCGAUAUGCAGACCCCGCCACGCGGCGGGGCGCCAUAGAUAUAAUUCAGUUAAUGAUAUGGUCAUCAAGUAACAGACUGUCGGUCCUCAUCUGCUGUGGGCGUUGGAAACUUGAGGGGAAUUCUCCCUAGUACGAGAGGACCGGGAGGAACUAACCGAUGGUGUGCCAGUUGUUCUGCCAAGAGCAUUGCUGGGUAGCUACGUUAGUGUCGGAUAACCGCUGAAAGCAUAUAAGCGGGAAGCCGCGCCCAAGAUUAGGUUUCCUUAUAGAUCUCCUGUAGACCACAGGAUUGAUAGGCACUAGGUGUAAGCCCUGCAAGGGGUUGAGCCGUGGUGUACUAACUGAUCG
rnacentral:rRNA from 1 species